rnacentral:rRNA from 1 species
GGCCUUCGGGUUGUAAACCCCUGUCAGGCGGAACGAAUCCCCCGAGGACGAAUACUCCUCGGGGUUGACGGUACCGCCAGAGGAAGCCCCGGCUAACUACGUGCCAGCAGCCGCGGUAAUACGUAGGGGGCGAGCGUUGCUCGGAUUUACUGGGCGUAAAGAGCGCGUAGGCGGCCAGGAAAGUCCGGUGUGAAAACCCUCGGCUCAACCGAGGACCCGCAUCGGAAACUCCCUGGCUUGAGUCCAGGAGGGGAGGGUGGAAUUCCCGGUGUAGCGGUGAAAUGCGUAGAGAUCGGGAGGAACACCAGUGGCGAAGGCGGCCCUCUGGAAUGGUACUGACGCUGAGGCGCGAAAGCUGGGGGAGCGAACGGGAUUAGAUACCCCGGUAGUCCCAGCCGUAAACGAUGGGCGCUAGGUGUGGGAGGUAUUGACCCCUUCCGUGCCGCAGCUAACGCAUUAAGCGCCCCGCCUGGGGAGUACGACCGCAAGGUUGAAACUCAAAGGAAUUGACGGGGGCCCGCACAAGCGGUGGAGCAUGUGGUUUAAUUCGACGCAACGCGAAGAACCUUACCAGGGCUUGACAUGCCGGUGGUACCGACCCGAAAGGGAAGGGAUCCCGCAAGGGAAGCCGGCACAGGUGGUGCAUGGCUGUCGUCAGCUCGUGUCGUGAGAUGUUGGGUUAAGUCCCGCAACGAGCGCAACCCUCACCCUCUGUUGCCA